ACCAGCAUGGUGUAGUGGUUUGAGCACUGGACUAUGACUCUAGAGAGCAGGAUUCGAAUUCCACUGGGUA